rnacentral:tRNA from 1 species
GGCGCUUUGGCGGAGUGGUUAUCGCGUGGCACUAGAAUCUCUUCUUCGAUUCUAGAGUAUUAUCUGCUCGACAAAAAAAAAAUGCCAUUCCCUCAGGGAGCAUAGGUUCAAAUCCUGUAGGCGUCG